rnacentral:misc_RNA from 1 species
GCAUAUGACUACUGGCAGGAUCAACCAGGUAGCAUUCCUCAUUCGACAUCAACAACGCAUGAGACAAUCCACAAGGGUUCGUUCAACACGUGCAUGAUUGUCGUUCGCACAAAGCGUGGGACGCUCAAUUUGGGGCAACCAAAGGUUUCAGUGACCUUGAACCCGCUCAAUGUUCCGUACCCGAGAGACCACGCACAACAUCAUGGUUCAACAAUCCAAGCACACUUAAGUGGCGUGAAAAGUGAAACACAAUGAGUGCUACAAAGUCCGCCCAACGCCUCAUCCGAAAGGUUCAACGAUGGACGGAUGACCGAAGAUUCCAACAAACGAAUGCCCUCAAAAUUAGGAACGCAGCACAAGAAACCAAAACAGGCAAGACAUGGGCAAUCCGACAACUGAAAAGCAAUGCAAGACACAUUGUCGCUGCGCGAGCAGGGAUCCAACGUGCCAAUACAAACCAAACACCACUCA